GUCCGCGUGGCUAAUGGAUAAGGCGUCUGAUUUCGGAUCAGAAGGUUGCAGGUUCGAGUCCUGUCGCGGACG
rnacentral:tRNA from 1 species